CCCCGUGUGGUCUUGUGGUUAGGAUUCAUGGCUUUCAGCCAGAUGGCUUUGGUUCAAUUCCCAGCAUGGGAA
rnacentral:tRNA from 1 species